GUCAGGACGAACGCUGGCGGCGUGCUUAACACAUGCAAGUCGAGCGAUGAAGCUUCUUCGGAAGUGGAUUAGCGGCGGACGGGUGAGUAACACGUGGGUAACCUGCCUCAUAGAGGGGAAUAGCCUUCCGAAAGGAAGAUUAAUACCGCAUAAGAUUGUAAUAUCGCAUGAUAUAGCAAUUAAAGGAGCAAUCCGCUAUGAGAUGGACCCGCGUCGCAUUAGCUAGUUGGUGAGGUAACGGCUCACCAAGGCGACGAUGCGUAGCCGACCUGAGAGGGUGAUCGGCCACAUUGGGACUGAGACACGGCCCAGACUCCUACGGGAGGCAGCAGUGGGGAAUAUUGCACAAUGGGGGAAACCCUGAUGCAAGCAACGCCGCGUGAGUGAUGACGGUCUUCGGAUUGUAAAGCUCUGUCUUCAGGGACGAUAAUGACGGUACCUGAGGAGGAAGCCACGGCUAACUACGUGCCAGCCGCCGC
rnacentral:rRNA from 1 species